UGCGUAGGCGGACUAAUAAGUCAGUGGUGAAAUCUUUCGGCUCAACCGAGAAACCGCCAUUGAUACUGUUAGUCUUGAGUUCGGUUGAGGUAGGCGGAAUGUGUAAUGUAGCGGUGAAAUGCUUAGAUAUUACACAGAACACCAAUUGCGUAGGCAGCUUACUAGACCGACACUGACGCUGAGGCACGAAAGCGUGGGGAGCGAACAGGAUUAGAUACCCUGGUAGUCC
rnacentral:rRNA from 1 species